UCCUCCGUGGCGCAAUUGGCUAGCGCGUUCGGCUGUUAUUGCGAUAAUAGUUGUACCGGAAGGUUGGUGGUUCGAGCCCACCCGGGGGAG
rnacentral:tRNA from 1 species